GCCUACAGCUCUUCACCACUGCCUUGGGGACCAUGGAGCAAGGCACAUUGUGACAUCUGGACAUCCUUUCAGACCAAGUGGCUCCUAGAUUCUAUUUCCCAGGACAGAAGCAACACUCCCUUGAAUAUCCUCCAAAAAAAAAUCCAUUUUUCCUUUGAGAAACUAAUAUAUUGUAAAUACAAUUGCAGAUGAACAAGAACCAAGAGUAUGCAAAAAGUAUAUUUAAGAGAGUUUUGCACUUAGCUGCACAGCAGGUUAUGCAGAGGUCAGCAGACACCAGCAGUGCGUCUUCAGCCUUACAAGAAAACCAUCAGUUAUUACUCUCUGAGUAGAUGACAGCUUCACAACAGACAUCCUUCACCAAAGGAGUCACCCACAAGCCCUGACCAGCAGGCAGAGCCCAGAACUUGACACAGUGCCAAUGAAGCCAACUGCUGCAUCUGACAGAGAACAUCAAAUCUUCGUGGUCAUCCUACUGAUAGCCUUUGUGGGAGCAGCCCAUCCCCACACUGUCCUCUUGAGCAGCACAUGCUUCUGUUAAACCUGCUAUUGCCCACAUACUACAAACAAUAGCCAUAGUGGUUACAUCACAAAAAUCCUAAACCACUAGCACACAGCUGAGGAAGUUAGACAAACACAUAGGUAAGACAUGUCUUGCACCACUACCUAGUGUAUAAUAUACAGCUUUUCUC
rnacentral:lncRNA from 12 species